AAGGUGACAGGAAUUCCACUGACACCAGGCUCGCCACGAAACUGCUUAGCUGCUAAAUUAGUCAUGUGGUGCAUCAGAGAUCAGCCACUUUGAGGCUGUGAUUAACUGCAGUUCAAACAGCACUGCUGUCUGGGAGGGGAAGUCAGGCCCAUCGCUCAGCGUCUGGGUGAUGCAGAGGAGACUGGCCUCUGUCCUAUGAUCCAGCUACACAGUGAAAGGGGACUUUUUUACUGACCCUGAGCCACGGCAAGGGUUCUCACUGGGCCUUCGCGUGACCUUCAAACGCCCUGGUCGUCUCUGCAGUGAUCUCCAGUUCUUCCACACUGAUGGAGCUUGGCUUGGGGUUGUCAUCACUUGUGUGCUUUUUCAAUUUCCAGUUGGUCGGGAGCCAGCCCUCUGCUCUCCACCCCAGUCACCCUGGACACGGCCUAUCCAGGUCAUGAUUUCUAUUCACGUUUCUCACCAUUUGAGGGAGUAAAUCCAAUUUAAAGUAGAAAGAUGAAUGACAGGGGAUAAAUCAACAAGAGAUCCAGGAUGGUCCCUAGGGAGUCGAUCAUGGAGCAACAAGAAUCCUAGACACUGUCAAUCCCAUCGUCUCAGGUGACAGAGCUGGGGUCUGACCCAAAGUCACAGCCAUUCCAACAAAUCAGCACCAGAGUCACCUGGAGGAGCAUUUCCAAUGGGUUAAAAUGUUUGACUUUGGAAUCAUAAGGGCCUGGGUUCAAGAUCCAAGCUGAGUGGUCUUGGAUAGUUAGCAUAGACCCCUCACCCACAGUGUUUCCACCUGUCCUGUGAGGUACAUAGCUGGUAAAUGGUCAAUGCUCAUCAUCGGCUGGACUCAGCUCUGUGGCCUUUUAAUCAAGUGCUCUUCACAAGAGAAUGCUGCUUUGUUCAGACUCCCAUAUUCCAUGUUCAGUCUUCACUAAUGGUGGUGAAACUGUGCUUUGGCUGAAAACCAAUCUAUAACACCUAGCAUGCAGGUACUGCCACGCCCACGCAGCCAUGAAAGACGACCCACGUGGUGGUCCCAUCCAAUUACAAUGGACCUGGAAGUUUGGGUCACCCGGUGAUGUCAUGGCCCUCGUGAUGCUGAACCACAGAACUGGCUCUCAUGUAUGUGGUGACACCAAGGCAGGGCCAGUCACGCAAGCACACGCCAUCAUGUUCAGAACACAUGCCACCCUCUGUCAUAUUUUGGAAUGUUCUCUUCUGACUUUUUUUAAGAAAAUGUUUAAUAGAACAGCCUGCCGCAACUUUUGGCCACACCUCAUGCAUCUGUCUACUGUGGCUCAUGAGCACAUGGAGGCUGGUCUGGCGAGUGACCUAGCCAGCAGGGUUUAUGUAGGACACAUCACAAUGUUCAUUCAAUGAAGCCGCCUAACCACACGCUUCUCAAAACACAUCCCACCAUCAAGGGACGCUGGCCGCAGCCAUGGACCUGCAUAGAAUAUCCUUGUAAACACAGCAUUUCACACAGUGCCUAGCACAGAGGGAGGAUUCCACAUAGUCCAGAACACCGGGGACAAAGCUGAAUGAUCAGGACGCUCUCCUCCCAUGUGUUCCCAGGAACAGAGUCCAGGUCCUAGAGCCAGUUCUCAGGGUCCACAGGGCCCCAUUGCUCAUUCAACCUGGGCCUCACACAGUGGGAAGUGGAGCACUUGGAGACAGAAGGAAAGGUGUUUUCUACCUCUCUCCCUUCAGAAGGCAAGUUCACUGACCACAGAGGCUGGGUCUCUGGAGGACCUACUGUGUGCUGGCACUGUUGGAGGGCCCAGGCACCAAGAACACAAGAGGCAUAGUCCCUGAUGUCUCGAGGCCUGAGUGCAGGGGGCCAAGCCAGGGAAUUCAGAUAGUGCCAGGUGCUAGGAAGAGGUUAAAUGGUGUAAGGUGCUGAGAGUGGUCAGGAAGGGGAGGGCAACUCAAGACACGCGGGUCAGGGCAGAGAGUCAAGGGUCCCGAUGCUGGGGAAUAUCAAGGGCAGCGCUGCUCAGUGCUGAAGGAAAAGGAGGUGCUCACAACUGUUGGAAGAAGGAAGGAGUCAGUUCCUCCCAUACAGAAACCAGGAGCACAGUAACUUUUCAGUCUGGAAGUAUAAAACGGAGAAAAGUACCAGAAUUAUCACAUCUGUUUCAGACUCGGGUUUUGGGAGACUGUAAGAGGCUCAGCUGUGACCUUAGAGGAAACACAGCCCCAGCCCUUGGUGUUGCCCUGAUGUCUCUCCCAACUCGCACCCAUUCCCACUCAGCCACCCACAAACCAUGUGAGCCUGUUAAAGCUCGGCCCGGCCCGUCUCAGCCCUUGGGAAGCAUGGUUCACCUGUAUCCUCCAAACUAAUGGCACUCCUUUUCGUUUUGCUUUGUUCUGUUUCGUUUCAUUUAAUUUGAAGACAGCACUGCCUUGUCCAACCCGUAGUCUACACAGCCCGUCUUGGGAAGCCCUGGCCUACCUCUCUUCACGACCUACAGUCAGGCUGUGGUAAUUCUUAGUUUUCAGUCCUAGUUUGUUCAGUGGAAUCAUCAAAUAAAUAAGGUAAUAUGACUCUUGGAAAGAUACAAUAGUUUGGUUUGUCGGUGUGAAAAUAAAAGGUGCAAGAGUCUUGGCAGAUCUAAUUUCACCACAUUUAUUCACCUUAAAGUAAUUUUAACAGAGCUAAAAAUGUUAAUUCAUAUAAAGGCAAAUAUGUGCAAGAUAUACUAAUGUUAAGUUUUGUGAAAAAAAAUCUAAUUCUAAAAGUAAAAAUCCAGUUCAAAUAUAUUUUAUAUAGCAUGAAUUAGUAAGAUUUUUAAAUUAAAGCUAAUAAUUUCUGCUCAAUGAAUGCAAAAAAAAUUAAUUUUAUUCAUCAUUAACUUUAUUCAUCUGGCUUAUUGUGAUCACAACCAUUUUAGAUGGCAGAACUAUUAGGCACUUUAAUUUUUAAAAAUUAGAUACAUUAGAUUUCACUGUAAUAUAGAAACUUAAUAAAGGACAAAAAUCCAUGUUAAAGGCUAAUUAAUACCAGUGACACUUUCCUAGUAGCUAAAAAUAAGAUUAAUGGCAAGUCUGUCCAAUACUAGUCUAUAAUUAUAUUAUGUUUGAAGUCUACUUGUAAUAUUGACUUUAUGCUUCUUUUAUUAAAAUAAAUCUAACCCUACAAAAUGGUUGAUCUACUUUUUAAACUUACUUUUUAAAGUCUACACAAAAAAUGUUAAAAUUCAAACAUAAAUGUCAUACAUUUGUCAUUAGAACGUAUACAGAACUCACUUCCUAGGUAAGUUUUAGCUGUCUUUGUGAAACUCUUCAUAAAUUUUCAAUUUUCUAAUACCUCUAAAAUUAUGUCAUCUCUGCUGGGCACAGCGGUGCAUGCCUAUAAUUUCAGGAUCACAGGUUAGAGGCCAGCCUCAGAAAAUUAGUAAGGCUCUAAGUAACUUAAUGAGAACCUGUCUCAAAAUUAAAUAAAUAAAUAAAUAAAUAAAAAGGCCCUUGGGUUCAAUCCCUGGUAACAAAAAAAAAAUGACAUCAUCUCAAAUAAAGUUCCCUUAAAAUGAGUCACUGAGUGAAUGAAUGUUAGUAAUGUAGAAACCAUAAAUGUUAAUAGUGUGAUGCAUUUUCAAACCAGGUUUCCUUUGAUAAAUACCAAAUAAUUUGUUACACUCCCAAAAUUGGUCUUCAGAAUAUAGAAGAUAAACCCAAAUUACUCAACUGAUUAAUGUACACCUCAUAAAAUAAGAUCUGCAUCACCAUUAACAAGAAUUAAUCUAAAUUGCCCCAAAACACUAAUUUAUGCAAGUCUCCAGAGAAAAUUUACUUUUUAAAGUCUACACUUUGGGGCUGGGGAUGUGGCUCAAGUGGUAAUGUGCUCGCCUGGCAUGCGCGGGUGUUGGGUUCUGUCCUUAGUACCACAUAAAAAUA